rnacentral:miRNA from 1 species
ACUGAAUCCUCUUUUCCUCAG